AAAUAAGAGGAUUAAAAUGAUGAUGCAGAUGGGAAUAGUAAUAAACUGUGACGGUUUUGGAGAAAUGGGAUAGAGAGAGUGAAGAGAAAAGAGAAUGAUUGUGAUGAGAGAAAAAGAAAGCAGUAGAACAAUAAACUUAGAACUUGCAAUAAAAACACACUUAACUUAACCCUUAAGUAAUUGUAAGUGAAUGGAUGAUUAGAGUGGAAGACAAAUAACAGUAAGCAAUAUAUUGGUUAUAUAUGGUGAAGAAAAGGAUAAUCGGCAAUAUAUUGGUUAUCUAGGCUAUUAUA
rnacentral:lncRNA from 1 species